CUGUUAGGAAGGUAGCCUGGUAGGAAGGUAGCCCGGUAGGGAGGUAGCCUGGUAGGGAGGUAGCCUGGUAGGGAGGUAUUCUUGUAUGAAGGUAGCCUGGUAGGGAGGUAGCCUGGUAGGGAGGUAUUCUUGUAUGAAGGUAGCCUGGUAGGAAGGUAUACUUAUAUGAAGGUAGCCUGGUAGGGAGGUAGCCUGGUAGGGAGGUAUUCUUGUAUGAAGGUAGCCUGGUAGGGAGGUAGCCUGGUAGGGAGGUAGCCUGGUAGGAAGGUAGCCUGGUAGGAAGGUAUACUUAUAUGAAGGUAGCCUGGUAGGGAGGUAGCCUGGUAGGGAGGUAUUCUUGUAUGAAGGUAGCCUGGUAGGGAGGUAGCCUGGUAGGGAGGUAUUCUUGUAUGAAGGUAGCCUGGUAGGGAGGUAGCCUGGUAUGAAGGUAGCCUGGUAUGAAGGUAGCCUGGUAGGGAGGUAGCCUGGUAUGAAGGUAUACUUAUAUGAAGGUAGCCUGGUAGGAAGUUAGCCUGGUAUGAAGGUAGCCUGGUACCAGUUAUGGAAGUAUAUAUGGAAGUUGUUAAAUAUGAGUCACAUUUUUUUUAUUUUGAUCUGUCUUAUAUCUCUCAGUUAUAGGACAGACUUUUAAACAAACGUCCUUUAGAUUUUUUUGGGGGGGGAACUAUUUUGUGAAUUUAUUAUUCAAUGCGUUUCUAUGGGCUAAUAGCAAUACUGUAACUCUUAAGGAUUAAAACACCAUUAUUGCACACAAUGCAACUCUUUGUGACUUGCUAAGCACCUGUUUACUCCUGAAUUUAUUUAGACUUGGCAAUAACAAAGGGGUUGAAUACUUCUUGACUCAAGGCAUGUCAGAUUUU
rnacentral:lncRNA from 1 species